GGAAGGGUCUGGCAGCUCCCACGAUGGGCCCAGGAGCUCUGAGGAGUCUCUGGGCUGAUCUGGAGAUGUCCCAGUAGAGUCUGCGAGGGUCCAGGGAGCCCUCGUGUGGGUCUGGGUGGUCAUCCAGAAGGGUCUGGGGAUGGCCCAGAGAGGACUUGGAGGGUCUGGGGGGUCCUUUGGUGGGUUCAGAGGGUCCUGUUGUCUUCUGGAAGGGUCUGAAGAUGUCCCAGAAGUGUCCUGGGUGUCCAAAGGGUGCUCGUGUGGGUCUGGGGGGUCCUGGAGCCAUCCAGAAGGGUCUGGGGAUGUCCCAGGACUGUCUUGGAGUGUCCAGGGAGUGUUCAUGUGGGUCUGGGGGGUCCUGGAGCCAUCCAGAAGGGUCUGGGCAUGGCCCAGAGAGGACUUGGAGGGUCUGGGGGGUCCUUUGGUGGGUUCAGAGGGUCCUGUUGUCUUCUGGAAGGGUCUGAAGAUGUCCCAGAAGUGUCUUGGGGUGUCCAGGGGGUGCUGCCACUGAGCCUCCCACUGUCCUAUGAGGGGACAAAAGGACCCCCCUGGGGGCAUUGCGUCAAAGUUGGGGACACUGUGAGCAGCUUGAGGACUUCCCAGGGGAAGUGGGGACACCGCGUCACUGUGUCACACCUCAAAGUUGGGGACACCCCCACUGUGUCACACCUCAAAGUUGGGGCAUCUCUGUGUCCCCCCGAUGGUGUCAGACCCCAAAGUUGGGGACACACCACAGUGUCACACCCCAAAGUUGGGGACACCCCCACAUGUUACACCCCAAAGUUGGGGUCUGUCCCAGAGGUGGGAGUGCCCCCACAUCCCCAC
ensembl:lncRNA